AUGGCGGACAUUCAGACUGAGCAUGCCUACCGGAAGCAGCCAACCAUCUUCCAGAACAAAAAGAGGGUACUGCUGGGCGAGACUGGCAAGGAGAAACUCCUGAGCUGUUACAAGAACAUCGGGCUCAGUUUCAAGAUGCUCAAAGAGGCCAUCGAAGGCACCUACAUUGACAAGAAAUGCCCAAGAUGAAGAUGCAGAGGAUCGAUGUCAUCCACCAGGACUGCCUCCGCCACAUUCGAAAGUACAGUCGCUCCGAGACGAGCCGCAAGGACAUGUCCGUGCACCUUUCCCCCCGCUUCAGGGAUGUCCAGAUGGGUGACAUCGUCACAGUGGGCAACUGCUGGGCCCUGAGCAAGACAGUGUGCUUCAACGUGCUCAGGGUCACCAAGGCCGCCGGCACCAAGAAGCAGUUCCAAAAGUUCUGA